CUGGCCCUACGGGGCGCAGCAGUGAGGAAUAUUGGUCAAUGGCCGGAAGGCUGAACCAGCCAAGCCGCGUGAGGGAAGAAGGCGCAGAGCGUCGCAGACCUCUUUUGCCGGGGGACAAAAGGCCGGACUCGUCCGGUCCUGAGGGUACCCGGAGAAAAAGCAUCGGCUAACUCCGUGCCAGCAGCCGCGGUAAUACGGAGGAUGCGAGCGUUAUCCGGAUUCAUUGGGUUUAAAGGGUGCGCAGGCGGGGCUUUUAGCCGGCGG
rnacentral:rRNA from 1 species